rnacentral:rRNA from 1 species
GACGAACGCUGGCGGCGUGCCUAACACAUGCAAGUCGAGCGAUGAAAUUUCCUUCGGGAAAUGGAUUAGCGGCGGACGGGUGAGUAACACGUGGGUAACCUGCCCUAAAGAGGGGGAUAGCCUUCCGAAAGGAAGAUUAAUACCGCGUAACAUUAGAUUAUCGCAUGAUAAUUUAAUUAAAGGAGUAAUCCGCUUUAGGAUGGACCCGCGUCGCAUUAGCUAGUUGGUAAGGUAAAAGCUUACCAAGGCGACGAUGCGUAGCCGACCUGAGAGGGUGAUCGGCCACAUUGGGACUGAGACACGGCCCAGACUCCUACGGGAGGCAGCAGUGGGGAAUAUUGCGCAAUGGAGGAAACUCUGACGCAGCAACGCCGCGUGAGUGAUGAAGGUCUUAGGAUUGUAAAGCUCUGUCUUUUGGGACGAUAAUGACGGUACCAAAGGAGGAAGCCACGGCUAACUACGUGCCAGCCGCCGCCGUAACAC